AUUGAACGCUGGCGGCAGGCCUGACACAUGCAAGUCGAGCGGUAGCACAGGGAGCUUGCUCCUGGGUGACGAGCGGCGGACGGGUGAGUAAUGUCUGGGAAACUGCCUGAUGGAGGGGGAUAACUACUGGAAACGGUAGCUAAUACCGCAUAACGUCGCAAGACCAAAGAGGGGGACCUUCGGGCCUCUUGCCCUCAGAUGUGCCCAGAUGGGAUUAGCUAGUAGGUGGGGUAACGGCUCACCUAGGCGACGAUCCCUAGCUGGUCUGAGAGGAUGACCAGCCACACUGGAACUGAGACACGGUCCAGACUCCUACGGGAGGCAGCAGUGGGGAAUAUUGCACAAUGGGCGCAAGCCUGAUGCAGCCAUGCCGCGUGUAUGAAGAAGGCCUUCGGGUUGUAAAGUACUUUCAGCGGGGAGGAAGGUGUUGAGGUUAAUAACCUCAGCAAUUGACGUUACCCGCAGAAGAAGCACCGGCUAACUCCGUGCCAGCCGCCGCCGUAA
rnacentral:rRNA from 1 species